GUUAAGCGACUAAGCGUACACGGUGGAUGCCCUGGCAGUCAGAGGCGAUGAAGGACGUGCUAAUCUGCGAUAAGCGUCGGUGAGGUGAUAUGAACCGUUAUAACCGGCGAUUUCCGAAUGGGGAAACCCAGUGUGUUUCGACACACUAUCAUUAACUGAAUCCAUAGGUUAAUGAGGCGAACCGGGGGAACUGAAACAUCUAAGUACCCCGAGGAAAAGAAAUCAACCGAGAUUCCCCCAGUAGCGGCGAGCGAACGGGGAGGAGCCCAGAGCCUGAAUCAGUGUGUGUGUUAGUGGAAGCGUCUGGAAAGGCGUGCGAUACAGGGUGACAGCCCCGUACACAAAAAUGCACAUAUUGUGAGCUCGAUGAGUAGGGCGGGACACGUGGUAUCCUGUCUGAAUAUGGGGGGACCAUCCUCCAAGGCUAAAUACUCCUGACUGACCGAUAGUGAACCAGUACCGUGAGGGAAAGGCGAAAAGAACCCCGGCGAGGGGAGUGAAAAAGAACCUGAAACCGUGUACGUACAAGCAGUGGGAGCCUCUUAAUGGGGUGACUGCGUACCUUUUGUAUAAUGGGUCAGCGACUUAUAUUCUGUAGCAAGGUUAACCGAAUAGGGGAGCCGAAGGGAAACCGAGUCUUAACUGGGCGUUAAGUUGCAGGGUAUAGACCCGAAACCCGGUGAUCUAGCCAUGGGCAGGUUGAAGGUUGGGUAACACUAACUGGAGGACCGAACCGACUAAUGUUGAAAAAUUAGCGGAUGACUUGUGGCUGGGGGUGAAAGGCCAAUCAAACCGGGAGAUAGCUGGUUCUCCCCGAAAGCUAUUUAGGUAGCGCCUCGUGAAUUCAUCUCCGGGGGUAGAGCACUGUUUCGGCAAGGGGGUCAUCCCGACUUACCAACCCGAUGCAAACUGCGAAUACCGGAGAAUGUUAUCACGGGAGACACACGGCGGGUGCUAACGUCCGUCGUGAAGAGGGAAACAACCCAGACCGCCAGCUAAGGUCCCAAAGUCAUGGUUAAGUGGGAAACGAUGUGGGAAGGCCCAGACAGCCAGGAUGUUGGCUUAGAAGCAGCCAUCAUUUAAAGAAAGCGUAAUAGCUCACUGGUCGAGUCGGCCUGCGCGGAAGAUGUAACGGGGCUAAACCAUGCACCGAAGCUGCGGCAGCGACACUAUGUGUUGUUGGGUAGGGGAGCGUUCUGUAAGCCUGUGAAGGUGGCCUGUGAGGGUUGCUGGAGGUAUCAGAAGUGCGAAUGCUGACAUAAGUAACGAUAAAGCGGGUGAAAAGCCCGCUCGCCGGAAGACCAAGGGUUCCUGUCCAACGUUAAUCGGGGCAGGGUGAGUCGACCCCUAAGGCGAGGCCGAAAGGCGUAGUCGAUGGGAAACAGGUUAAUAUUCCUGUACUUGGUGUUACUGCGAAGGGGGGACGGAGAAGGCUAUGUUGGCCGGGCGACGGUUGUCCCGGUUUAAGCGUGUAGGCUGGUUUUCCAGGCAAAUCCGGAAAACC
rnacentral:rRNA from 1 species